rnacentral:rRNA from 1 species
GAUGAACGCUAGCGGGAGGCCUAACACAUGCAAGCCGAGCGGUAGAGUUUCUUCGGAAACUUGAGAGCGGCGCACGGGUGCGUAACACGUGUGCAACCUACCUUUAUCUGGGGGAUAGCCUUUCGAAAGGAAGAUUAAUACCCCAUAAUAUAAUGAUUGGCAUCAAUUAUUAUUGAAAACUCCGGUGGAUAGAGAUGGGCACGCGCAAGAUUAGAUAGUUGGUGAGGUAACGGCUCACCAAGUCAAUGAUCUUUAGGGGUCCUGAGAGGGAGAUCCCCCACACUGGUACUGAGACACGGACCAGACUCCUACGGGAGGCAGCAGUGAGGAAUAUUGGACAAGGGGUGAGAGCCUGAUCCAGCCAUCCCGCGUGAAGGAUGACGGUCCUAGGGAUUGUAAACUUCUUUUGUACAGGGAUAAACCUACCCUCGUGAGGGUAGCUGAAGGUACUGUACGAAUAAGCACCGGCUAACUCCGUG